rnacentral:misc_RNA from 1 species
CAUCUUAUGUACAAUAUGGCGAUUUCAUGCUUGGAGCUGAUUGGUUCCAUUUGGUCUUAUGCUAUGUUUAUGUAGCUUAUGUCAUUUUGAGUGUGAUGGGCCAAAAUAAUCAAGAUCAGUUUGUGGUUAUAAUUAUUCAGACGACGGCGAACGUUUUGUCGUGCCAUUUGUGAUCCACGCGAAUCAACGCGAAUAGCUCGUUGCGUAUGCAAUCGAGCGAACAGCGAAAUUCGAUAAAAAGACUCACAUAUACGAUGGCAUUGAACGAUUGCGUAGACCCGGAGCGGGUAGUAUGUGGCUUUAGCGCAUUCAAGGAAAUAGACGAAGUGACUGCUUUGAUAGCGGAGUUGAACCAGCCCAAUCUGCUGACGAGUCACGUCGAGCGAAACAGAGAUCGCUUUAAUUUUAUCUUGUCCCAAUAUCAGGAUCAGCAUCAUCUUCUAGAUCCGUAUCUCGAGCGUAUCCUGGGAUCCUUGCUGUUGGUCAUCAAAGAUGAUGUAUGCCCGGAAUGUGUCAAGCACAACGCGUUCAAGUAUCUAUUUAUCAUCAUGUCGGUGAAAACGUAUAAGAGAAUUGUCACUUAUCUUCCGCACGAAGUGGCGGACCUUCUGCCAGUGUUAAGAAUGCUCGAAAAGCAAGACCCGAAUGAUGUAGAGACAUGGGAGACUCGAUAUGUCCUGCUUAUUUGGUUGUCCAUAAUUUCUAAAAUACCUUUUCCUUUGUCUCGUCUGGAGACAUCCAAAAAUAUAGAUCUGGAGCAAACCAUUAUUGUCAGAAUUUUAAAAGUAUGCAAAUUGUAUUGCUUGUCGAAAGAUUCAUGUGCCGUGGCGGCUGUUUUUUUAAUAGCAAAUUUUUUAACACGGUCGGAUGUGAAGAAGUUAUAUUUGGAAGAAAUGAUAAUGUGGUGCUUAAAGUGUAUAGAAAAUGAUCCUUUGAGACAUGGCCCUUUAGCUGUAAUAGCCUCGAUAUUAAAGCAUAGUGCGAGAGAAGACGUUAAACCAUAUAGUCAGAUACUUCUCGAUAAUAUAUUGAAACUUCAGUUAAGCGACAAUCCAGCGGAUCUUAUUAGAAAAUUUGGAAUAAAAGUUGUCCAGCGCAUAGGUCUAGUAUUGUUGAGAACAAAAUUAGCGUCUUGGCGCUACCAGAAAGCAAGUCAUCCAAUCAGCAUUAUACCUAACAUCAAAACGGAUAAUAUUGAUAAUGCUGAAAGUAAAAUUAAUAAUAUUAAAAAAACCAUUUCGAACGACAGUGAAGAUCAGGAGAUUUCCCCAGUUAUUGAAGAUAUAAUAGAGCAACUCAUUCAGGGUCUUCGGGAUAAAGCGAUUAUUGUAAGGUGGUCUGCAGCGAAAGGUAUUGGCAGAAUAACCGCGAGAUUGCCGAUAGACUUAGCCGACGAUGUAUUAGGAUUCGUGUUGAAUCUCUUCUCUGGGCGAGAAUCAGAUUCAGCUUGGCAUGGUGGUUGUUUGGCGCUCGCUGAACUUGGAAGACGUGGCCUAUUGUUACCUCAUCGUUUAAAUGAUGUUAUUCCCGUGGUACUACAAGCUCUAGUCUUCGACGAACCCAGAGCUUAUGGAUCGAUCGGUUAUUUGAUCAGAGAUGCAGCUUGUUAUAUAUGUUGGUCUUUUCCAAGAGCCUAUGAUCCGCACAUUUUCGAACGUUACCUCAAAGAAAUUGCGGCAAUGUUGUUAGUUGUAACGUGUUUCGAUAGAGAGAUAAACUGCAGAAGAGCAGCGUCUGCCGCGUUUCAAGAAAACGUAGGCAGACAAGGCAAUUUUCCGCAUGGUAUAGAUAUACUGACUGUCGCCGAUUAUUUUGAAGUUGGUGUGAGGAGUCACACGUACCUCAAAAUCAGCGUACAAAUUGCACAAUACGAAGAAUAUACAAAACCUUUAAUAGAUCAUUUAGUGACAAAGAAGGUCACACAUUGGGACACUUCAAUAAGGGAACUUUCAGCCAGAUCGCUUUUCAACCUGACAGCAGCUGAUCCGCAUUACAUGAUAAGUACAGUACUGUCAACAUUAUUGGAUAUGUUGAAUUCUAUCGACUUGAAUGUUAGACACGGUGCAGUACUAGCUACUGCGGAAAUUCUUGAAGCUUUACAUAAUCACUUUAAUGAUAAAAUUGAAUAUAUUAUUGGAACCGCGGCUGUAGCUGAUAUACAAAAUAUAAUACGAACUUUCAGGAAUAGAGGACAAUUUAAAGGUCUUGGAGGAGAACUAAUGAAACAAGCUUGCGCCGUGUUGAUAAAAAAAUGUUCCAUGGUUCAUUUUCCUGUUCAUUUCACAGAUGUUGUAGAUGACUGGCAGAAAUUAUUAGAGGAAUGCUUGAGCCACGAAGUAUCGGCAGUUAAAUUGAAAGCGGCCGAGGCGCACACAAACUUCUUUCUGGAAUAUUAUGUUGAUGUUGAUUAUGACACACGAAAUGCUGUGGUGAAUCGUUAUUUGGAGUCCUUGCAAUCGAGUAGUCAGUCCGUUAGAAUAGGAUUUGCACAAGCAACAGGACAUUUUUCGUUGUUUGUAAUUCGUGAAAGAAUAAAAGAUAUCAUAAAUUCGUUGAUCACGUGCACUCAUAUAACCGAGAACACGCUGAAAUGGGCAGAGAGUAGAAAACAAGCCUUGCAAUCUCUAACAAUGAUACUACAAACGUUAGGAAUCGAUGAAGCCGACAAAUGGCAACCAUUUGUGCCGGAUGUGUACGACUGUUACUUAUUGGCUCUGAAAGAAUAUACGAUAGAUAGUCGCGGAGAUAUAGGCGCUUGGGUGAGAGAAGCGGCUAUGAUUGGAUUACACGUGUUAACAAACCUAGUAUCACAAGCAAAACUAUUGUUUGUGUUGAACGAAGACUUGAUGGCUGGUAUUGUUGGUGGUGUUGCACAGCAGGCUGUUGAAAGGAUAGACGGAAUUCGGGCUCAAGCUGGUAUUGUAUUCAGUUCUCUUAUACACAGCAAUCCGCCACUUCCAAAUAUACCACAUCAUAAUGAAUUGAAAACUAUAUUUCCUUAUAACGAAUGCAAAGAAAUUGAGUGGCGAAUGGAAUCGGCAACGUUUCCACGAUUUAUCAAGAUGUUGAGUUUUCCAUCGUAUAAAAUAAACUUGUUACGCGGAAUUAUAUUCAGUGUCGGCGGUUUAAGUGAAUCUUUGGGAUCGGCCGAACUUGACGCAUAUAUUCACGGAAGUCUUCAAGGAAGUAGUUGAGUUAGGUGUACAAUUAUCGGGGAGAAAGAAUUCCCCAGGAAGUGAUAAAGUUGUUCCGAAUAUAAAUUCAGGGAGUGUCGCAUUUGUGUCAGCACGAACGUGCACCCGGAAUCCUAAUAGGAUCGUGUACAAGGUACAGGUCCAGCACGAAUCGCCGUGGCACAUAAUUGCAGCCUUAACCCGGUGCCAACGUUCAAUUAUGCUAUUUGACGCCGGGUGGUAAGCGGUCGUGCGACUUCGCUCACAACUAAUUAAUGAGAGCAAUGACGUAAAUAGGCGAAAUUCGAAUCCCUGGGAUCCCUGGUCUGUAGUACGAGGACCCGUAGCAAAGAGAGCGUUUUGCCAAUUGAGUAUAUUUUUGUGUCACAAAUACACAAGUUUAAGGAGGACAACGGCUAUACGUA